rnacentral:rRNA from 1 species
UACGUAGGUGGCAAGCGUUAUCCGGAAUUAUUGGGCGUAAAGCGCGCGCAGGUGGUUUCUUAAGUCUGAUGUGAAAGCCCACGGCUCAACCGUGGAGGGUCAUUGGAAACUGGGAGACUUGAGUGCAGAAGAGGAAAGUGGAAUUCCAUGUGUAGCGGUGAAAUGCGUAGAGAUAUGGAGGAACACCAGUGGCGAAGGCGACUUUCUGGUCUGUAACUGACACUGAGGCGCGAAAGCGUGGGGAGC